AGUGAGGAAUAUUGGUCAAUGGACGCAAGUCUGAACCAGCCAUGUCGCGUGCAGGAAGACUGCCCUAUGGGUUGUAAACUGCUUUUAUACGGGAAGAAAUAUAGCUACGUGUAGUUAUUUGCCGGUACCGUAUGAAUAAGCAUCGGCUAACUCCGUGCCAGCAGCCGCGGUAAUACGGAGGAUGCGAGCGUUAUCCGGAUUCAUUGGGUUUAAAGGGUGCGUAGGCGGAAGUAUAAGUCAGGGGUGAAAGUUUGUGGCUCAACCAUAAAAUUGCCUUUGAUACUGUAUUUCUUGAGUACAUUUGAGGUAGGCGGAAUGUGUUGUGUAGCGGUGAAAUGCUUAGAUAUAACACAGAACACCGAUUGCGAAGGCAGCUUACUAAACUGUAACUGACGCUGAUGCACGAAAGCGUGGGGAUCGAA
rnacentral:rRNA from 1 species